rnacentral:rRNA from 1 species
UACGUAGGGUGCGAGCGUUAAUCGGAAUUACUGGGCGUAAAGGGCUUGUAGGCGGCCAACUAAGUCCGACGUGAAAUCCCCAGGCUUAACCUGGGAACUGCGUCGGAUACUGGAUGGCUUGAAUUCGGGAGAGGGAUGCAGAAUUCCAGGUGUAGCGGUGAAAUGCGUAGAUAUCUGGAGGAAUACCGGUGGCGAAGGCGGCAUCCUGGACCGACAUUGACGCUGAGGAGCGAAAGCUAGGGGAGCAAACGGG